CUCAGGACGAACGCUGGCGGCGUGCCUAACACAUGCAAGUCGAACGAGAAUCUAAGGAACGGAGCUUCGGCGAAGGGAAUAGAGGACAGUGGCGGACGGGUGAGUAACGCGUGAGCAACCUGCCCUUCGAGGGGGACAACAGCUGGAAACGGCUGCUAAUACCGCAUGACAUAUACUAACGGCAUCGUCGGUAUAUCAAAGAUUUAUCGCUGAAGGAUGGGCUCGCGUCUGAUUAGCUGGUUGGUGGGGUAACGGCCUACCAAGGCGACGAUCAGUAGCCGGACUGAGAGGUUGAACGGCCACAUUGGGACUGAGAUACGGCCCAGACUCCUACGGGAGGCAGCAGUGGGGAAUAUUGGGCAAAUGGGGGCAACCCUGACCCAGCAACGCCGCGUGAAGGAAGAAGGCUUUCGGGUUGUAAACUUCUUUGACGAGGGACGAAAAAUGACGGUACCUCGAAAACAAGCCACGGCUAACUACGUGCCAGCCGCAGC
rnacentral:rRNA from 1 species